CGAACGGGUGAGUAACGCGUGAGGAACCUGCCUCAAAGAGGGGGACAACAGUUGGAAACGACUGCUAAUACCGCAUAAGCCCACGGUGCCGCAUGGCACAGAGGGAAAAGGAGCAAUCCGCUUUGAGAUGGCCUCGCGUCCGAUUAGCUAGUUGGUGAGGUAAUGGCCCACCAAGGCAACGAUCGGUAGCCGGACUGAGAGGUUGAACGGCCACAUUGGGACUGAGACACGGCCCAGACUCCUACGGGAGGCAGCAUG
rnacentral:rRNA from 1 species